UGGGGAAUAUUGCGCAAUAGGGGGAACCCUGACGCAGCCAUGCCGCGUGAAUGAAGAAGGCCUUAGGGUUGUAAAGUUCUUUCGGUAUUGAGGAAGGUUGAUGUGUUAAUAGCACAUCAAAUUGACGUUAAAUACAGAAGAAGCACCGGCUAACUCCGUGCCAGCAGCCGCGGUAAUACGGAGGGUGCGAGCGUUAAUCGGAAUAACUGGGCGUAAAGGGCACGCAGGCGGUUAUUUAAGUGAGGUGUGAAAGCCCCGGGCUUAACCUGGGAAUUGCAUUUCAGACUGGGUAACUAGAGUACUUUAGGGAGGGGUAGAAUUCCACGUGUAGCGGUGAAAUGCGUAGAGAUGUGGAGGAAUACCGAAGGCGAAGGCAGCCCCUUGGGAAUGUACUGACGCUCAUGUGCGAAAGCGUGGGGAGCAAACAGGAUUAGAUACCCUGGUAGUCCACGCUGUAAACGCUGUCGAUUUGGGGGUUGGGGUUUAACUCUGGCGCCCGUAGCUAACGUGAUAAAUCGACCGCCUGGGGGGUACGGCCGCAAGGUUA
rnacentral:rRNA from 1 species